UAACUUAUGAUGCCAGUGCCUACACCCAUCAUCCCACUCCUCUCAUGGCUUUUUGAUGCACCAGCAGCAUUACAGCACCUAUAAAUACCUUCACACUGAGGACUCAGGCUGCCUUACAGAAGCACAUAGAAGUGCCAUAAAUACAUGAAAUACAGAUGUCAAUUUUUAGGAGCAUCAGCAUUAUGGUGGUUGCAAAGAAGGACCGGAGAAACAAAGACUACCUCCCAUCAGCUCUAGCCAACCAGACCUAUGGUGAUUUUGAGUACUUUAAUUAAAAAGCAGAGAUCUAUAAAUUUGGCCACCAAAAUAGAAAUCUUAAGAAAAAUGGAAGCUGAUUAAAGAAAAGUCAUUCUUGGAUGCAUUUUGUAAGAAGUUUUCAAUUGGUUGUUGUAGGUUUUUUUCGGUUUAUAUGGCCAUGUUCUAGAGGUAUUAUCUCCUGACGUUUUGCCUGCCUUUAUGGCAAGUAUCCAACCAGUGAUUCCGGCCAUGAAAGCCUUCGACAGUCUUCAGGUGGUCUCUUGAAGGUUCAGGAUAUUUUUAUUUACUUAUGCAAGACUUACCUGACCUGGUUGUUUCAUUUGACACAUACAUAUUGUUCAUUUUGAAUAAAAAGUUUGCUGAAACAUGUUGAAGUAUCCUUUUAUUUUUUGAGAUUUUGAAAUGUAUGCCUAUC